CUCUGAUAUCUAUCAACAUAUCUAGUAGCAUCAUAGGGUAACUCUGAAGUCAUGGAGAGACACAAGAAGACAUGAUUGAAGCAUUUCUGAGGUGUUCCCAGGUACAUUCAUAUUCAAUUCAAUGGAGGCAAAACAAAUCAGCUGGAGAUUGGAAGGAGGAAAGUGCUUUAUAGUCUUCAUGCUCUUGUCGGAUAUGGGUGUUUAUCUGUUUAGGGCAGGACUGUCCAAACUUUUUAAACUGAGGGCCAGUUUGCAGUCCCUCAGCCUGUUGGGGCGGGGGGGGGGGGGAGACUAUGGUUUUGAAAAAAACAUGAAUGCAUUCCUAUGCACACUGCAUAUGUCUUAUUUUUAGUGCAAAAACAACAACUAGUACUACUACUACUACUCAACAACAACAAUUCUUUAUUGAUUAGUCACUUUUGACCAUAUCAAAACAUGUAAAACAUACAAUACGUACACACUUACGCAUACAUACAAUAAAACCAUGUAAAGAUACAAAACAUCCUGAACUGCGGCCUAAUAACCCGCUCCUAGACAAAUACAGAGUAAAAAGGUUAAAAUUAGUAAUUUCCUAAGGUAAGGUUUGAACGAGGACAGGGGUAAGUAAAACAAGUGUCUUGUCCGUAGUAAAUUUUAAGUUUGGAUUUUGUUAGUGGCAAUAAUAUAUCAGCUCUCAGCUUCCAUCUUCUCAUGAAUGGCCAGUGCUUUUUGUGUAAAAAGGGCCAGUUUUAAAAUACUACUACUGCUGCUGCUGCUACUACUACUACUACAUGAAAGAACAAUACAAUAUAUAAAACAAAGAACAAUUUUAAACAACGUAAAUGUACCAGUCUUUCAAUGGGAAAUGUAGGCCUGUUUUUGGAUGAUGAAAGAGUCACAUUAAUUAGGAUUGUUAUUGUUGGGUGUCAUCAAGUUAUUUCCAACAGUGGCAUAUGCUGCCUCAGAGUCUGGUAGAGUCUCUUUCUCUGGAAGUUUUUCAGCAGAGGUAGCAUGGCCAUCUAUUGGGAGGGCUUUGAUUGU
rnacentral:lncRNA from 1 species